CAUCUACUCACUCUGUCCCAAAUUUCUUGUCUUAGAUUUGUCUAGUUACAGAUGUAUCUAGAUACGGAUGUAUCUAAUACUAAAAUGUGACUUGAUACAUCUGUAUCUAGACAAAUCUAAGACAAGAAUUUUGGGACGGAGGGAGUACUUU
rfam:Triticum aestivum genome assembly, contig: Triticum_aestivum_CS42_TGACv1_scaffold_200726_3AL